AACGGCGGACUGUUAAUCCGUAUGUCACUGGUUCGAGUCCAGUCAGAGGAGCCA
rnacentral:tRNA from 1 species